GGUAUUUUGCCUCUUCAUAAAGGUUUUCAAUGGGGGAAUGCAGUUCGUAAUAUGGAUUUCAGAUAGAAUUUAACAAAACCUCUUCUUAGGAAAAUUCAAAGGAGAGAAAACAGUGGACUUUCAAAAUUUGUGGAUUCCAAUUCUGAAAAAUAAAGCAAAUCUAUCAUGAAAUAAAAGAAUGAAUUUGAAACUUGCCUGAAAUCAAGGAUAUAGUGUCUCUCAUCCAACAGACCUAUUAAGAAGGCCCAAACCCGAAAAUUUGACAAAUUUCAAAACUAUGCCACAGGCUGCAAAUUUCUCAAUGCACGAAGAAUUUAUUUACAAGCAUGUUGCACUUUCUGAAACACUGACGAGGAAAACCAAAACCGGUGGCUCGCCGGGCCAAGUCUCGCCUGUACUUGAGAAAGGCAACCUGCCAAGCCUUUUGCAAGGCACUUUAAACUUAAAAAAUUCGGCUUUUUUAAAAAUAAAAAAAAAAAUCAUAGAACCCCCUGGGUUGCUUGAUUUUUGGAUUUUCGAACUUUUUCUCAACAAAAAUGAUGCAGGGAGAACAUAAUAAACGAAAUAAAAUUAAAAAGUUUGAGAGAUUAUACCCUCUCUUCGGAUCUACAAGGGAAUCCGAUCCAAGAUCUUUUUACAAUAUCAAACUCUUUAC
rnacentral:lncRNA from 1 species